rnacentral:rRNA from 1 species
UACAGAGGGUGCGAGCGUUAAUCGGAAUUACUGGGCGUAAAGCGUGUGUAGGCGGCUAUGUAAGUCGGGCGUGAAAUCCCACGGCUCAACCGUGGAAGUGCACCCGAAACUGCGUAGCUAGAGUCCUGGAGAGGAAGGUGGAAUGCUUGGUGUAGAGGUGAAAUUCGUAGAUAUCAAGCGGAACACCGGUGGCGAAGGCGGCCUUCUGGACAGUGACUGACGCUGAGACGCGAAAGCGUGGGGAGCAAACAGG